UCGUGGUUAUGAACUGUCAGCUCAAUUGCGAUAACGAACGAGACCGCGACUGCUAAAUAGCCCGCGCCGCCCCGGCGGCGUGCUUUGGCUUCUUAGUGGGACUAUCGGCUCAAGCCGAUGGAGGUACGCGUCAAUAACA
rnacentral:rRNA from 1 species